GAACUGGAUUAAACCACAAAUAAUGAGUCAUUUGAAUAUAAACUCGACACAAAAAACUGAAAUUCUCCCUUGGAGGUGAAUAUCACCUAUUUCAUAUGCAUUGCCCACUCGACACAGUAUAUAUUUAUGCAUGUUUGUAGCCUUAAUCAGAAAAAUUUUUGCCAGGUUUUGUUGGUGCUAUGCUCUCUCCUUCUCGUCUCCUCAAGUGUAAGAAUAGGCUAUCUAAGCAAUGAAAUGCCACUCAAGGAACAGAUAAUCGAGAUGAUCAUUUGGUAUUUAAGCAAUCUAUUGAUGAGUUUCUUAGAUAAUGGAAAUAAAUACUAAAUUCGCUUCAAGAAGAAAUGAUUUUCUUGAAAGGGCACACUUUCAAGUUUAAAAUUAUUAUGGUCUCUCCCACUGGCUGUCACCAGACAGGCAGCAGUACAGACAAGUACCGUAAAAGAGAUGGUGAGAGGAAAAUGUCUUCACUUACCCACGGAGACAGAACGCGUGCAUCUUGCAUAUGUAUAGCAGAGAUUAUUUGUCAACAACUGAGUUCCAUCUCGACACAGUAUAUAUUUAUGCAUGUUUGUAGCCUUAAUCAGAAAAAAUUUUGCCAGGUUUUGUUGGUGCUAUGCUCUCUCCUUCUCGUCUCCUCAAGUGUAAGAAUAGGCUAUCUAAGCAAUGAAAUGCCACUCAAGGAACAGAUAAUCGAGAUGAUCAUUUGGUAUUUAAGCAAUCUAUUGAUGAGUUUCUUAGAUAAUGGAAAUAAAUACUAAAUUCGCUUCAAGAAGAAAUGAUUUUCUUGAAAGGGCACACUUUCAAGUUUAAAAUUAUUAUGGUCUCUCCCACUGGCUGUCACCAGACAGGCAGCAGUACAGACAAGUACCGUAAAAGAGAUGGUGAGAGGAAAAUGUCUUCACUUACCCAC
rnacentral:lncRNA from 1 species